rnacentral:tRNA from 1 species
CAAGACGUAGCUUAAUUAAAGCAUUCAGCUUACACCUGAAAAAUGUCUGCUAGCCUCAGAUCGUCUUGA